rnacentral:lncRNA from 10 species
CGUGAGCCACUGUGCCCAGCUGGAUUUACAUAUUUCAAUUUAAAUAAAUUUUAUCUAAAAAGGGCAUGUAGUUAGUAGACAGAUAUGCCUAACUAGAAUGGUGUUGUUGAAACUGUAUAUAAAGGUUUAGUGUACCAUUUUGUUUACUUUGUAAGUUUGAAAAUUCUCCAUGUUAAAACUGGGCGCAGUGACUCAUGCCUGUAAUCCCUACACUGUGGGAGGCCGAGGUGGGCGGAUCAUCUGAGGUCAGGAGUUCCAGACUAGCCUGGCCAACAUGAUGAAACCCCAUCUUUACUAAAAUUACAAAAAAUCAUCCAGGCGUGGUGGUGCGUGCCUGUUAUCCCAGCUACUUAGGAGGUUGACGCAGGAGAAUCACUUGAACCCAGGAGGUAGAGGUUACAGUGAGCCAAGAUGGCGCCUCUGCACUCCAGCCUGGUGACACAGCGAGACUCCGUCUCAAACAUACACACACACACAAAACCCUCCAUAUUAAGAUGUUUACAAAUCUAAAAUCUAUUGUCUGGGCCCCUAGGCCAGAUAUCCAACAAUUUAUCAGACAUCCCUUGACAAGUCUGUUUCAUGGUUUUCUUACCAUCUUGAAGUCACAUACCUCUAGCUUUGUGUUUCAAAUGUCACCAUAGGGUUCUAUUGAGAAUCCAGGAAAACUGUGGCUAUUGCACAAAGGCCUGUGGAGGGCCCUAAGGGAAGAAAAUCAGAAAAUUCAAACAAACUAAUGGAAAUGUUUUAGGAAAUCACAGGACAGUCUCUGAAAGCAGGAAAGGAUGGAACCCAAAUUAGCAGCACCUCUUCCAUUAUGACAAGAGGAAGGGCAAAGAAGAUGAGAUUGCAAAGCCUGAAGCCCGGAACCCAAAAAAUCCAUCACAAUUGUCCAUCCAGGAGAAUAAAAUCACAUUUCCAGUUAUGUGUCUGUGACAGAAACUUGGUGACUGCUUACUAAUGAACCCCCAAAUUCACUCACCUGUUUUUGGCAAAUGAAUCUUGUGAAUUACAUAUUGCACAGAUAUGUAAUAUUUUGCUUUUCUAGGAACACCAUCUGUUUUUAAUGAAAAUUGAGGAAAUAUUUUCUAACGGAAGCAUAUUCUGAGAAAGAUCAGAAUAUACAUUUUCAUAAGAUUUUUCAGCUUAUUACAUAUUUGACUGUGGAACUAAAAUGUUGCCAAAUAAAGAAAAUGACAAAGCCAAGUGUGAUGGCAGAACCCUGCAUUCCCAGCUACUUGGGAAGCUGCAGCAAGACUGCUUGAGCCUAGGAGUUCAAGGAAGCAGUAUGCUAUGAUCGCACCUGUUAACAGCCACGGCACUCCAGCCUAGACAACAGAACAAGAUCCUAAAUUAAAAAAAAUAAAGAAAAUGAUCAAGGUUAUAAAUUUUUUUCUACUUAAUAGAAAUAACCAUGAAUGAAAUAAGGAAACUUAUUUGAGUUUGAUCAUCCUCAACCAAUGUUUUAAGAGUCUAGUCUAUAAUAAAGGUUGGGACCUAACACUUUUAAACUUCUGUCUAACUCCAAACUCAUAAAUACACAUUGUUGUAUUGAUUUUAAACUUCAGACAUGUAGUAUUUGGUCAAGUAGGCUACUUAAAAAACAGGGCAACAGAAAAGUUUCUGAAUGUCACUAGACAAUUAAACUUUUAUUGAAGCGUAAAUUGUGGUACAGAAAUACAUUUCAACUGAUUUAAGUCCAACACCAGUGAAAGGAGAA